AGGGGUGUAGCUCAAUUGGAAGAGUAGCGGACUCCAAAUCCGUUGGUUGCGGGUUCGAUCCCUGCCACCCCUGCCA
rnacentral:tRNA from 2 species